GACGAACGCUGGCGGCGUGCUUAACACAUGCAAGUCGAAUGGAAAGGCCCUGCUUUUGUGGGGUUCUCGAGUGGCGAACGGGUGAGUAACACGUGAGUAACCUGCCCUUGACUUUGGGAUAACUUCAGGAAACUGGGGCUAAUACCGGAUAGGAGCUCCUGCUGCAUGGUGGGGGUUGGAAAGUUUCGGCGGUUGGGGAUGGACGCGCGGCUUAUCAGCUUGUUGGUGGGGUAGUGGCUUACCAAGGCUUUGACGGGUCGCCGGCCUGAGAGGGUGACCGGCCACAUUGGGACUGCGAUACGGACCAGACUCCUACGGGAGGCAGCAGUGGGGAAUAUUGCAUAAUGGGCGGAAGCCUGAUGAAGCAACGCCGCGUGCGGGAUGACGGCCUUCGGGUUGUAAACCGCUUUCGCCUGUGACGAAGCGUGAGUGACGGUAAUGGGUAAAGAAGCACCGGCUAACUACGUG
rnacentral:rRNA from 1 species